AAAACUAAAUGUCUCCGAGUCUAUAUUUCCUUCAAGUUUUCUACUUAUGGCGUAUAGACCCGUAGGGUAUAGCUAGAAAUAGUUAUGCCUCCCAUUGUGGAAAGGAGCCAUGGCAAAAAAUAA
rfam:Clostridium formicaceticum strain ATCC 27076, complete genome.